CCUACGGGUGGCAGCAGUGGGGAAUAGUGCACAAUGGGGGAAACCCUGAUGCAGCGACGCCGCGUGAGUGAAGAAGUAUUUCGGGAUGGAAAGCUCUAGCAGCAGGGAAGAAAAUGACGGUACCUGAGUAAGAAGCCCCGGCGAACGACGUGCCAGCAGCCGCGGUAAUACGUAGGGGGCAAGCGUUCUCCGGAUUUACUGGGUGUAAAGGGAGCGUAGACGGCAGGACAAGUCUGGAGUGAACUGCCGGGGCUUAACCCCGGAACUGCUUUGGAAACUGUGCAGCUAGAGUGCAGGAGCGGUAAUUGGCAUUCCUCGUGUAGCGGUGCCAUGCGUCGUUAUUAGGAGGAACACCAGUGGCGACGGCGGCUUACUGGACUGUAACUGACGUUGCGGCUCGAACGCGUGGGGAGCAAACCGGAUUAGAUACCCGUGUAGUC
rnacentral:rRNA from 1 species